GCGGAAAUAGCUCAGUUGGUAGAGCAUAACCUUGCCAAGGUUAGGGUCGCGAGUUCGAGUCUCGUUUUCCGCUCUU
rnacentral:tRNA from 2 species